GUGCUCACUUUGACAACACAUGCACUAAAAUUGGAGCCAUCCAGGGAAGAUUAGCAUGACUCCUGCACAAAGAUGACACACAAAUUUGUGAAGAUUGCUCCUUUAUU
ensembl:snRNA U6 U6 spliceosomal RNA